GGGUUGUGAGGUUAAGCGACUAAGCGUACACGGUGGAUGCCCUGGCAGUCAGAGGCGAUGAAGGACGUGCUAAUCUGCGAUAAGCGUCGGUAAGGUGAUAUGAACCGUUAUAACCGGCGAUUUCCGAAUGGGGAAACCCAGUGUGAUUCGUCACACUAUCAUUAACUGAAUCCAUAGGUUAAUGAGGCGAACCGGGGGAACUGAAACAUCUAAGUACCCCGAGGAAAAGAAAUCAACCGAGAUUCCCCCAGUAGCGGCGAGCGAACGGGGAGGAGCCCAGAGCCUGAAUCAGUGUGUGUGUUAGUGGAAGCGUCUGGAAAGGCGCGCGAUACAGGGUGACAGCCCCGUACACAAAAAUGCACAUAUUGUGAGCUCGAUGAGUAGGGCGGGACACGUGGUAUCCUGUCUGAAUAUGGGGGGACCAUCCUCCAAGGCUAAAUACUCCUGACUGACCGAUAGUGAACCAGUACCGUGAGGGAAAGGCGAAAAGAACCCCGGCGAGGGGAGUGAAAAAGAACCUGAAACCGUGUACGUACAAGCAGUGGGAGCACGCUUAGGCGUGUGACUGCGUACCUUUUGUAUAAUGGGUCAGCGACUUAUAUUCUGUAGCAAGGUUAACCGAAUAGGGGAGCCGAAGGGAAACCGAGUCUUAACUGGGCGUUAAGUUGCAGGGUAUAGACCCGAAACCCGGUGAUCUAGCCAUGGGCAGGUUGAAGGUUGGGUAACACUAACUGGAGGACCGAACCGACUAAUGUUGAAAAAUUAGCGGAUGACUUGUGGCUGGGGGUGAAAGGCCAAUCAAACCGGGAGAUAGCUGGUUCUCCCCGAAAGCUAUUUAGGUAGCGCCUCGUGAAUUCAUCUCCGGGGGUAGAGCACUGUUUCGGCAAGGGGGUCAUCCCGACUUACCAACCCGAUGCAAACUGCGAAUACCGGAGAAUGUUAUCACGGGAGACACACGGCGGGUGCUAACGUCCGUCGUGAAGAGGGAAACAACCCAGACCGCCAGCUAAGGUCCCAAAGUCAUGGUUAAGUGGGAAACGAUGUGGGAAGGCCCAGACAGCCAGGAUGUUGGCUUAGAAGCAGCCAUCAUUUAAAGAAAGCGUAAUAGCUCACUGGUCGAGUCGGCCUGCGCGGAAGAUGUAACGGGGCUAAACCAUGCACCGAAGCUGCGGCAGCGACGCUGAUGCGUUGUUGGGUAGGGGAGCGUUCUGUAAGCCUGCGAAGGUGUGCUGUGAGGCAUGCUGGAGGUAUCAGAAGUGCGAAUGCUGACAUAAGUAACGAUAAAGCGGGUGAAAAGCCCGCUCGCCGGAAGACCAAGGGUUCCUGUCCAACGUUAAUCGGGGCAGGGUGAGUCGACCCCUAAGGCGAGGCCGAAAGGCGUAGUCGAUGGGAAACAGGUUAAUAUUCCUGUACUUGGUGUUACUGCGAAGGGGGGACGGAGAAGGCUAUGUUGGCCGGGCGACGGUUGUCCCGGUUUAAGCGUGUAGGCUGGUUUUCCAGGCAAAUCCGGAAAAUCAAGGCUGAGGCGUGAUGACGAGGCACUACGGUGCUGAAGCAACAAAUGCCCUGCUUCCAGGAAAAGCCUCUAAGCAUCAGGUAACAUCAAAUCGUACCCCAAACCGACACAGGUGGUCAGGUAGAGAAUACCAAGGCGCUUGAGAGAACUCGGGUGAAGGAACUAGGCAAAAUGGUGCCGUAACUUCGGGAGAAGGCACGCUGAUAUGUAGGUGAAGUCCCUCGCGGAUGGAGCUGAAAUCAGUCGAAGAUACCAGCUGGCUGCAACUGUUUAUUAAAAACACAGCACUGUGCAAACACGAAAGUGGACGUAUACGGUGUGACGCCUGCCCGGUGCCGGAAGGUUAAUUGAUGGGGUUAGCCGCAAGGCGAAGCUCUUGAUCGAAGCCCCGGUAAACGGCGGCCGUAACUAUAACGGUCCUAAGGUAGCGAAAUUCCUUGUCGGGUAAGUUCCGACCUGCACGAAUGGCGUAAUGAUGGCCAGGCUGUCUCCACCCGAGACUCAGUGAAAUUGAACUCGCUGUGAAGAUGCAGUGUACCCGCGGCAAGACGGAAAGACCCCGUGAACCUUUACUAUAGCUUGACACUGAACAUUGAGCCUUGAUGUGUAGGAUAGGUGGGAGGCUUUGAAGUGUGGACGCCAGUCUGCAUGGAGCCGACCUUGAAAUACCACCCUUUAAUGUUUGAUGUUCUAACGUUGACCCGUAAUCCGGGUUGCGGACAGUGUCUGGUGGGUAGUUUGACUGGGGCGGUCUCCUCCUAAAGAGUAACGGAGGAGCACGAAGGUUGGCUAAUCCUGGUCGGACAUCAGGAGGUUAGUGCAAUGGCAUAAGCCAGCUUGACUGCGAGCGUGACGGCGCGAGCAGGUGCGAAAGCAGGUCAUAGUGAUCCGGUGGUUCUGAAUGGAAGGGCCAUCGCUCAACGGAUAAAAGGUACUCCGGGGAUAACAGGCUGAUACCGCCCAAGAGUUCAUAUCGACGGCGGUGUUUGGCACCUCGAUGUCGGCUCAUCACAUCCUGGGGCUGAAGUAGGUCCCAAGGGUAUGGCUGUUCGCCAUUUAAAGUGGUACGCGAGCUGGGUUUAGAACGUCGUGAGACAGUUCGGUCCCUAUCUGCCGUGGGCGCUGGAGAACUGAGGGGGGCUGCUCCUAGUACGAGAGGACCGGAGUGGACGCAUCACUGGUGUUCGGGUUGUCAUGCCAAUGGCACUGCCCGGUAGCUAAAUGCGGAAGAGAUAAGUGCUGAAAGCAUCUAAGCACGAAACUUGCCCCGAGAUGAGUUCUCCCUGACUCCUUGAGAGUCCUGAAGGAACGUUGAAGACGACGACGUUGAUAGGCCGGGUGUGUAAGCGCAGCGAUGCGUUGAGCUAACCGGUACUAAUGAACCGUGAGGCUUAACCUUACAACGCCGAAGCUGUU
rnacentral:rRNA from 1 species